CAGGAAGGCGCGCUCCACAUGGCGUCCGACGGAGAGGAGCGGAGGCUUUGCCUGAUGGCUCGCCGGUUUGCGAUAAUAGUCUGCGUUUCGAUGAUAAUUGGCACCGCAGCAAAGCCAUACGGACCCUCGGAUAGGAAGGUAGAAGUGGAGCCUCCAGAGAACAAAGCUGAUGCUCCGUAUCACAUUGACCCCAACAUGAAGAUUUGGAUGACAGCCCCAGAGCAAGCAGAGCCGGUCUGGGAUGGCGUCUACCAUAAAGCACGUUAUCAGCUGGACCCACUGAUCGCUGAGGCAGAGCCGCGCGCUGCACACUCAGCACCGGAGGCGGACAAGGACGACCUGUAUCACCGUGACGACCAGCUCUACCUGCAGCCAGCUCCACCUGUGCAGAUGGAGCCGCCGAGAGGCGAAGCCAGGCGUCACCUUCAGCCAGAGGAGGACAAGGACGCUCUGUACCACAGAGACGUCCCCGAGCUCGAGCCCCAGGACGAGCCCAAAGCUGACGGUGUGCUUUUUUCAGCAUCCCAGAGGAAGUACAGUGAACCAGAAGAGGAUCGGGACGGUCUCUACCACCAGUGA
rnacentral:lncRNA from 1 species